AAAGGAAUAGACGGGGGCCCGCACAAGCGGAGGAACAUGUGGUUUAAUUCGAUGAUACGCGAGGAACCUUACCCGGGCUUGAAUUGCAGACUGAUCCGGCAGAGAUGCCGGAGUCCUUCGGGAAGUCUGUGAAGGUGCUGCAUGGUUGUCGUCAGCUCGUGCCGUGAGGUGUCGGCUCAAGUGCCAUAACGAGCGCAACCCCUGUCUCCUGUUGCCAUCAGGUUAAGCUGGGCACACUGGAGAGACUGCCGCCGUAAGGUGUGAGGAAGGUGGGGAUGACGUCAAAUCAGCACGGCCCUUACGUCCGGGGCUACACACGUGUUACAAUGGCCGGUACAGAGCGAGGGUGUCCCGCAAGGUGCAUCAAACCGCGAAAACCGGUCCCAGUUCGGACUGGGGUCUGCAACCCGACCCCACGAAGCUGGAUUCGCUAGUAAUCGCGCAUCAGCCAUGACGCGGUGAAUACGUUCCCGGGCCUUGUACACACCGCCCGU
rnacentral:rRNA from 1 species